AAAGGGCGUGGAGCGUGGGACUCCGACCACAGGAAUUGAACCAAGGGCAUAACUUGGAAAAACCCGGACAAGAACCCUCUUUAGACCCAUUAAGCCUGUUUGGAGAUCCUAAGAGAUGAUUUUUAACAAGCAUUGGCUUUGCAGAGCGUCCAGUCCACUAACCUCAUUUAAUCUGCACUAUGAACUCCGAAGAGGACGACUCAAGAGAGGGUCCUUUCCUGGCAUGUCUUCACUGAGGGGUCUUACCACCUUGAUUUUGCCUGUCUUCAAAAACAAAACAAAACAAAACAAAAACUGUUGCUGGGGCUCUCUGUCUUUCCGAAUGCCUUUUGAUUAUUGCAGCCACUGAGAAGAAAACCAAUCUUGUGAAGAAAAUGGUCAAUAAAACUAUGAGCUCUAAGCAAGAGAAAAAUAGUUUCCCCUGCAAUUUGAAACAAUUUCUGUUGAUUAUAUGUAUUGUAAACUCAU